rnacentral:rRNA from 1 species
UGCGUAGGUGCCAAUUAAGUCAAAUGUGAAAUCCCCCGAGCUUAACUUGGGAAUUGCAUUCGAUACUGGUUGGCUAGAGUAUGGGAGAGGAUGGUAGAAUUCCAGGUGUAGCGGUGAAAUGCGUAGAGAUCUGGAGGAAUACCGAUGGCGAAGGCAGCCAUCUGGCCUAAUACUGACACUGAGGUACGAAGGCAUGGGGAGCAAACA